CUUUCAUCACCUAGGCAACGCAACGUGGACACGUCCAUCUUUAACUAACCUUGGGCACAGCUGCCUGAAAGCGGAUGUUGGUGGCGGGAGUUGGGGCCGAGGAAAGCAUGGAGAUGAUGACUACCAGCACAUCCGGCCGUGACGGAGGACAGUCCCGGGCAAAGAGGCACGGUGACUUCAGCCAGAGAGAUGGUGUCGUACAGGUCGGCUGCAGGGGUCAAGCUCUUCUCCACAGCUGUGAGACUGAGGUUAGACAGGAGGAGAGCGUCGGGCUGCUCCGAUUGGACGGGGAGACUGGACGUUAGCCCUGGAGUGGUGGGAGAGGACGUGGUGUUUGGAAGAGGCCUAGGGCUGCUCUUGCCGUUACUGCUGGACUUGGUCUGGAGAUCCCGUAAAGUGACUCUGGAAUGAGGUUGGUUCUUAUCCCUGAGUGUAGAACAUGUAAAUCCACUGUCAGUGGGACCCAAGUUUCAUUACACCUCAGUGUUGUGAGAUGUUAGUAUAUUUAUCUUUUGACAUAAACACUUCCAUAUUUACUUCUAUUAGACACGAGCAAUGGUAAAUAUAGUGCAUUCGUAGUCUUGAAGACCACUCAAAACAUGGUGUUAACGAGCAACGAGCGGAACCAGGAAUCAAACCCACAACCGCUCUACCACUGAGCUACUAUCACCCCAAGCCUAACAUCUUCCCGUGACUGGCUCUUACCAUUUGACCUGCUGACACUCUGGAGGUAAAGACUGCUGCAGCAAUGUUUUCCCCAGCAAAUCCAGUUCUUCCAUGGCUUUAGGAGGAGCAGUGGAGCCCCCUGUUGGUGGAGCCUGCUGCUGUAGUUGUACCAUAGCUGGUAGCAGCACCGCAGCCGCUACAGGCGGAGCAGACGAGUCUGUGCUAUCAGAGGUCUGAGAAAACAAACGGAGGGUCAGAGUUUGUGCAUCAGGACUGGACAGGGGAGGAGAUGAUGUUGGGUAAACUGACUUUAAUGUGAGCGCAAGUUAUCUUCAAGUUUACCUGGAAUGAGUUCUGGGAGUUGUAGUUUUCGGUUACAUUCAGUCCUAAGAAAACAAAAACAAUGGAAAAUGUUGAUAAUGUUUGGUUCCAGGUUUUGAUAAUUAAAACAUUAACGUGGGAGCCAGUAUUGAGCUAAUUUAGUUUAGUUUAGUAAGGUUCAGAGUUAAAUAUUCUUGCAAGGAAAGGAACGUGGCUUUGUGUACCUUUUGAUGUUCCUUAUUAGAUAAAGGGACACUGAUAUAUUUGAAGGCUAUGAUAGAUAGAGGGAUUGUGACGGGAAAAUAUCUAGAGGUUUUGUAGGUUGACGUGUCUGUAAGAAGCUGUGCUAGGUUUGGUGUAAAAAGGUUUCUUCACCGUUAGGUCAUGCUAUGUUACGUUAUGGUACGUUAUAUUACUGUUAAAUCAAUAGAUCGUCAUUCGUGUGUUGAUCCGAAAGAAGCUUGGACAUGGAUGGAAACGUAACUUGGAUGUAUGGCAAGUGGAAAUAAAUGUGCAAACCCUU